CCAAAUGUCCCUGUGUCACUACCUAGGGACCUAACAGGCCCAGAGACUUCUCCCACUGGGGUCCAAGCAAGAGCUGCCCACCCAGAAGCACAGGGCACAGGCUGCUGGAAUCACCCCAGAGGGAGGUUUGGUGUUGCCCAGGGACUGUGGAUUCUGUGUGUGUGUGAACCUUUGGAGCCAGCUUCUCGCACAGUAUCUCCACCUACGGCCUGCAGUGUGUUCCCAGCUCCCAGGACCCGCACACGCUAGGUGCUUGCUACCUUUUUUGUCAUCAAAUGGAUGAAAGCGGAAAAGAAAAGCGAUAACGGCGAGCAUCCACUGAACACAACUGCAGCACCAAGGCCUCACCAGGGUUGGCACUAGGAUGGACCCACCCAGCAGGAAACCAGAGACUGGCAGACUGAGGUAGAGCGGGAGGAAGUAACUGGUGCAAGCCUUUCCAAAGAGUGCGAGAAGCACCCCAACAUUGCAGCAUCCUGACUUUUUCCGAGAUGCUCUGCUGCCGCAGUCUCUGAGGGCCCAACCUUCCCUCAGCCGGGAGCCAAGAGGACAUCAACAGCCCUCCGGCCUCCCUCUCCGCUGCCACCCAGCUUGCGCCAUAUUUCAGCACGAUCCCCACUCUGGUACCAAAUUCUGCUGCUCUCCCAGGCUUCUCAUCUCAGAUCACGGGCCCAUGCUCACCCAGAUGCUCGAAGCUCACCCAGAAGCAGGGGAGUUAUCCUUGCAUCUCGUACUUCCUGAAAGCUCAUGCCAGGAGAUCCUGCUGUCCCGAACUCCAGAAGGUGCUUCCCCCCCGCCCCCCACGCACACUUCUCCAUUUGCACCAACGCUAGUCCGGGCUAUUCUUUUACCUGGACAACUAGUCUCGUGUCCCUGCCUCUAGCCAUCUUGCACCAUUACAGUGAUGUUGAAAAAGUACAAACAGUAGUAUUUUACUACCCUGUUCGAAACCCUUGUUCACUCCCUAUCACACACAAAAUAAGACCUGGACUCUGGCCACGAGCCCGGAAGGACUCCAGGCCACCUAGCUCCUGCCUGCCUUCCACUCCAACUAUCUUCCACCACCGCCGGACCACCAACUCACUCAGCCUCAAGCUUGCCAUUGAUCCUUCCCUCCACCGGAUGCACCUUUGCAGACAGGCUUUGCGUGGUUAGCUUCCUUCAUUCACUCGUGUCUCUCGAGGACCCCUCCCCAACACCUCCUGUCACUCUGCUUCAUUCUCUAUUGGCUGUUUCUUCCAGCAAACUGUGAGCCCCAUGGUGGCAGGAGCCUGACACUCAUGGCUGUGUCCCCAGGGCCCAGCACAGGGUCCGGUACAUAGAGCGUGGGUCGUUAUUACCAUCUACUGACCCUUCAAAAGGAGGAGAUCUUAUC